rnacentral:rRNA from 1 species
AUGGCCACAACCAUUGUUGAGCAAAGCGGUGGCCAAUACCAUGUUUUAGUAAUAAUCGCCGAUGGACAAGUCACACGAAGUGUUAACACUGAAUUUGGUCAAUUAAGUACCCAAGAGCAGAUGACUGUAGAUGCUAUUGUGCAAGCCAGUGAAUUUCCUUUGUCUAUAAUUCUGGUCGGAGUUGGAGAUGGUCCUUGGGACAUGAUGAAUGAAUUUGAUGACAACAUUCCUGCUAGAUCUUUUGACAAUUUCCAGUUUGUCAACUUCACUGGAAUCAUGUCAAAAAAGAUCAGUCAAAGCAACAAGGAGACAGAGUUUGCCCUUUCAGCACUCAUGGAAAUACCUUUGCAGUACAAAGCAACAUUACAGCUUGGAAUACUGGGGCGUCGACUUGCAAAGUCUCCAGAGCAAGUUCCACUUCCUCCUCCUUUCGCAAGUUAUAAUACCACCUCAAGAGCAGCACCAUCUUGGGCAAAUAACUUCCAAAGUGUGCCUUCUAAUCUUAGGGAGGAGGCAACUUUAGAUUCAACAAUCACACCGUCAGUUACACCCCCACCAGCUGCAGAUGCUAGAGCAUCGGAACUCCAAUUCUGCCCAGUUUGCCUUGCCAAACCCCGGGACAUGGCAUUUGGUUGUGGUCAUCAGACUUGUUCAGGGUGUGGACCGCAGGUCGCGGACUGCCCCAUCUGUCGAAGGCCAAUUGAUACAAGAGUAAAACUAUACUAA